rnacentral:tRNA from 2 species
GUUUUAAUAGUUUAACGAAAAACUUUGGUCUUGUAUACCAACAAUGAAAAAAAUUUCUUAAAACU